rnacentral:lncRNA from 10 species
GCAAUGAUAACAUCUGUCACACUCUUCCAUAUUGUCUGCACUGAAGGCAGAACCAUUAGGCAGGUCUUUACAAAAGGCAUUAAAAUCCUGGAAGGAAGGAAGAGAGAUGUGUGAGGAUUGUUGCUGUUACCAAAUAAGGUCUGUCUUGUACAUGUAUGAAAAGAUAAAAUACUGACCCAUUUACUUAAAUUUGGUUGAGAGUUUGAAACAAAUAAAUGAACAAUGAUCACUGAUAAUGAUUUGGGUUUUUUGUCCCCCUGACUCUCAUUUUGAAAUGUAGUCCCCAGUGUUGGAGGUGGGGCCGAGUGGGGAUAAUUGGAUCACAGCGGGUAGAUCCCUCAUGAAUGUCUUAGUGCCUGCCACCCUCUUGGUAACGUGAGUUCUCACUCAGUUAGUUUGCUUGAGAUCUGAUUAACUAAAAGAGUCUGGGACCUCCACAUUCUCUCUCUUGCUCCCUUUCUUGCCAUGUGACGUGCCUGCUCCUCCUUCUCCUUCCACUAUAAGUGGAAGCUUCCUGAGGUCCUUGCCUAAAGUAGAUGCUGGCACUGUGCUUCCUGUACAGCCCGCAGAACUGUGAGCAAAAAUAAACCUCUUUUCUUUAUAAAUAACCUAGUCUCAGGUAUUCCUUCAUAGUAAUGCAAAUGGACUAAAGUGAUAAGAUGCACAAAAAAUAUGUUGCCUAAAAAUAUAGUCAUGUAGAUAAUAAACACUAAUAUUCUUUCUACUGGUGGCAUGCUAUCUGAAACAGUAAAACAAAAAUAAAUAAAACCAUGUCUUUAUCUACCUGGUCUCUGCCAGUUAACAUUAACCUGCUUAAGUCUUCACACUUCCCUGAGGGUUUACUUCCUGAUAGCCUUUCCUGCUGCCUCAGUCUUCUUCCCUUUUCCUGGACCAGGCUAGAUCGGAUAUUCCCUCAUUGUAUUUCUAAAGUACUGAAACAAACUUCUUAAUUUUCACAUGUAUCAAAAGGUAUUAUAAAUAGAUGCUGUAUUUCUGUCUUUCCUACUAGCGUUUAAGUUUUUUUAAACAGUGAGGACAUCCUUGACCCUUAGUAAAUGGUUGAGCUAACAUAAAUUUAUCAUUCUUUUAUGCCUUAUGUUAUUAACUAUGUUUUAUAUUUUUUAAUUUUUUCACAGUAAUCACACACACUGAAAAGGGCUGUAUGGUAUAGUUGAAAGAACCCUGCAAAUGAUGUUAGAACUUUUACACAAGAAAACUAGUCUAUCCUGAAAUUGUUAUUUUUCAUACACUUGUUCCUAACAUAGCUGCAUAUCCUUAUAGUCCUCAGGAUGGUUAAUUUUAUAUGUAAUUUUCUAAAUAAUGUUCUCUGUUGUAGUAAUGUCCUCUGAGCACAAAAGUAGUUGUGAGAUUUUCAGGCACUGCUGGUAGCCUCAAUGGAAGCUUUAUUAUUACCUGGGUGGGCAUAAGGGAGUAGGCUGAUUUUCUUGGUUUGCUAUUAAAAUAUGACUUAAAUGAGGGUCUGCUGUACUUAGCCCAAAAUGAAGGAAAUAUUAGGCAGCUUUCUGAUUGAUUGAUAUAUUUUUAGAAUAUAGAAUUAUUCACAUUGACUGUCUCCACAAAUUGUGUUUUAUUUCAAGUGCUAAAUACAUGAAACACUUUUAUAUAAUAAGAAAAUUAAUUACUAAGUGUUUCAGAGAUAAAUAGCUGAAUAGAAACCUCAAUGAUGGCAACUUUAGACUUAUUAUUCUAUUAUAUUUCUCACUUGAUAUGUGGUCUUGGGCAUGUUGCUACAAAUUAAAGUGACACCAGGAGAUCUCUCAGAACUGGCUAUGAGGAUUGACAUUUAUUAUGUACCCCUGAAAUGCCUGUAUGAUGCUGUCAUUAUAAUGUAUAAUAAAUAGACCUAUUUUGAAGGCAGAAUAUAUAAUGAAAAUAACUAUAACAAGAUGACCUCAAAUUGGCCUAUUAAAAGGCUGAAGUUUAGAUCAGAAAGUUUCCUAACCAAAUCCACUUCACUUAGAAUUCCUUCCUUCUUUCUUUCUUUCUCUUUCUUUCUUUUUCUUUCUCUUUCUUUCUUUCUUUCCUUUCUUUUCUUUUUUCUUUCUUCUUUUCUUUCUUUCUUUCCUUCUUUCUCUUUUUC